rnacentral:lncRNA from 1 species
GUAAAUGAGAGAGAGAGAGGGUGGGGGAGUGGGGACCGAUCAGCUGCCGAGCCGCCACAGUGGCGUAGUGCCACUUGAGUGUCAGAGUAGCCGGGUCAUCAAGUGAGGGUGGAGGAGAUGUAUAUGAGAGAAGGAGAGAGAGGGGAAAGGUGGACGGAUUUUGAUAUAAAUAAGAGAGAGAGAUAGGUUUAAAUUUAUUUAAAUAAAAAAUAUUAUGAGGCUGGGUUCGAGGCGGAGCAUAUCAUUAUUC